CUCGGGUCCCCAAAGGCUGCGAGGCCGGGGUGCUUGCACCGUGACGCGCACGCGCAGCGACGGAGCCCGCGCACGAGCGCUCGGGGUAAGUCUGUGAGCCCAUCCCUGAGAAAACGGAGCUGAGGACCAGUGUGGGGCCUGAGCAAGCUGGAGAGGGUACCGGUACGUGAGAAAGAAAGCAUUCCAGCUAAAGUCUCCAUCAACUGAUUUCUGUUCAUCUCAUUCUACCGAAAUUUAAGAUUCCUAUUUCUACCUCUAAAGGUCUUUUCUAGGUUGUCAUUCCCCUCUAACUCUGGACCUUGUGACAUCAUUAAUUACCCUGUUCUUCAUGAGAGCAAGGGAGUAAUUCCUUAGGGAAUGCAGGAUUUCCCAAGCAAAGGCUUCCUCCUAACUUGCUCCUUUUACCACAGCACCAGUCAAACUGUCACUUCACUUUCUAUCAUCCAGGGCAGCUUCUCUUAUUCCAAUAUAUUAACUUAUAAAUGACUUAGAAAUGUAAACCCCUGCAAGAGAAAAUAAGAGACUUGAUUUAAGGGUUCAGACUCUGCCACUUAGUCGUUAGGAGAGAGAAACCACUGUGUAGCCAGAAAUGUAAGUGAGAUAGUCUUUUGGAGAAAGGGAAAGAUAAAGUUUCAGGUAGGGGUCAACAGAGCUGCCUAUUACCAGGCCUCAAAUCUCAAAUACUUCUCUGUGAACAGGAGUCAUAACACCUCAGGAGCUGCUUGGAAUUUCACCACUAAGAAACAAAGUUAUUUCUGGACAGGAGUUAUAUUUGCAAUCACUAUGAAAAGAUAUCUUAAUCCCACCAGCCAAAUCCCUAUAGUUUUCUAAUACCACAUCCUGAAUCAUAUCCUUUCAUGCUGGCUUCAACCAACCCUACUCCUUCUUAGAGAAAUAAAGGCCACAUUCUUGAAUGUCAGCAGGCCAAGAAAUAAAAGCACAGUUAUCCACAUGC